rnacentral:rRNA from 1 species
UACGGGGGGAGCAAGCGUUGUUCGGAUUUACUGGGCGUAAAGGGCGCGUAGGCGGUCAGCACAAGUCAGUUGUGAAAUCUCCGGGCUUAACUCGGAAAGGUCAACUGAUACUGUGCGACUAGAGUGCGGAAGGGGCAACUGGAAUUCCCGGUGUAGCGGUGAAAUGCGCAGAGUAUCGGGAGGAACACCGGUGGCGAAGGCGGUUCUCUGGGCCUUACCUGGACGCUGAGGAGCGAAAGCGUGGGGAGCGAACAGG